UUUAGGUGGCUGAGUAUAAGCAUUAGACUUUUAAUUUAAUAACGGUAUAAUAUUUAUGUACCCCUGGUG
rnacentral:tRNA from 1 species